UACGUAGGGGGCAAGCGUUGUCCGGAAUCAUUGGGCGUAAAGAGCGUGUAGGCGGCCAUACAGGUCAGCUGUGAAAACUCGAGGCUCAACCUCGAGACGUCGGUUGAAACCGUAUGGCUAGAGUCCGGAAGAGGAGAGUGGAAUUCCCGGUGUAGCGGUGAAAUGCGCAGAUAUCGGGAAGAACACCUAUGGCGAAGGCAGCUCUCUGGGACGGUACUGACGCUGAGACGCGAAAGCGUGGGGAGCGAACAGG
rnacentral:rRNA from 1 species